CUUUAGGAUGGAAUGUUCUGACUAGCUGUUAAAUCUGUCUAGUCUAGGGUGUCAUUCAAAGCCAUUGUUUCUUUGUCGAUUUUCUUUAGAUGAUCUGCUUAUUGAGGAAACCAGUGAACAAAUUACCAUGCCUUCUUACUCCUGUGAACCUUUAGAAGAUUUGAAACUCCUCUUCAAACGACUAUGAAGUGUCUCCCCGCCUGGUCUCCCUGGGGAGACUCUUCCAAUUGCCCUUACUUCAAGUUGACCGAUGAUCCUUUCUACUUGAGAUUUGCAUGGGUUUGUCUACCUUGGAUUCGGCUGCCUCUGCCUUUGGUCUUACCAUUUCAGUGUGGUGCCUUGCCUCCAUUGGGAGUUCAGUUGAGUUAUUUGCUCUCUUCAGCCUCCCCUACUUCCAGCAGAGGUCUCAAGUCUCUACAGAACAGCAGCAGUCAUGAGAGUACAUGCAAUGGCUGUUAUUGAUGAAGCACCAACUCCAUCAAGCAUUGUUCUAAGCGAUUAACAAGGAAUAUGUCAUUUCUUCCUCUCCACUCUGUGGGAGUACAACACUGAUUCAGCAGUUCUAUACUCCAUGCUCACCAUGUAAACUCCAGGCCUGGCAUGGA